GACGAACGCUGGCGGCGUGCUUAACACAUGUCAGUCGAACGGAAAGGCCCUGCUUUUGUGGGGUGCUCGAGUGGCGAACGGGUGAGUAAAACGUGAGUAACCUGCCCUUGACUUUGGGAUAACUUCAGGAAACUGGGGCUAAUACCGGAUAGGAGCUCCUGCUGCAUGGUGGGGGUUGGAAAGUUUCGGCGGUUGGGGAUGGACUCGCGGCUUAUCAGCUUGUUGGUGGGGUAGUGGCUUACCAAGGCUUUGACGGGUAGCCGGCCUGAGAGGGUGACCGGCCACAUUGGGACUGAGAUACGGCCCAGACUCCUACGGGAGGCAGCAGUCGGGAAUAUUGCACAAUGGGCGGAAGCCUGAUGCAGCAACGCCGCGUGCGGGAUGACGGCCUUCGGGUUGUAAACCGCUUUCGCCUGUGACGAAGCGUGAGUGACGGUAAUGGGUAAAGAAGCACCGGCUAACUACGUG
rnacentral:rRNA from 1 species